rnacentral:rRNA from 1 species
CACGGAGGCCCCAAGCGUUGUUCGGAAUUACUGGGCGUAAAGGGUGCGUAGGCGGCGGGGUAAGUCAGAUGUGAAAGCCCGGGGCUCAACCCCGGAAUUGCAUCCGAUACUGCCUUGCUUGAGGAUUGGAGAGGAGACUGGAAUUCACGGUGUAGCAGUGAAAUGCGUGGAUAUCGUGAGGAAGGCCAAUGGCGGAGGCAGGUCUCUGGACAAUUCCUGACGCUGAGGCACGAAGGCCAGGGGAGCAAAAAGG